UCAGAAGCAUUUUUAUUCAAUUUUUUGAAAAAACAUGUCCAAGAGCAAAGCAAAGACAGUCUGAGGUAACUUGGCUCAUAACUCCACUUCUAGUGCUCAGAACGAGUUGAUUUUUGUUUUAAAAGAUUCUUUGGAGUGUUCUUAAGGUUUCGUUGAAGAAAUCAUGAAAUUCCAUGCAUCAGAAGCAUUUUUAUCCAAUUUUUUGGAAAACAUGUCCAAGAGCAAAGACAGUCUGAGGUAACUUGGCUCAUAACUCCACUUCUAGUGCUCAGAUCGAGUUGAUUUUUGUUUUAAAAGAUUCUUUGGAGUGUUCUUAAGGUUUCGUUGAAGGAAUCACGAAAUUCCAUGCAUCAGAAGCAUUUUUAUUCAAUUUUUUGGAAACCAUGUCCAAGAGCAAAGACAGUCUGAGGUAACUUGGCUCAUAACUCCACUUCUAGUGCUCAGAAUGAGUUGAUUUUUGUUUUAAAAGAUUCUUUAGAGUGUUCUUAAGGUUUCGUUGAAGAAAUCAUGAAAUUCCAUUCAUCAGAAGCAUUUUUAUUCAAUUUUUUGGAAAAACAUGUCCAAGAGCAAAGACAGUCUGAGGUAACUUGUCUCAUAACUCCACUUCUAGUGCUCAGAUCGAGUUGAUUUUUGUUUUAAAAGAUUCUUUGGAGUGUUCUUAAGCUUUCAUUGGAGAAAUCAUGAAAUUCCAUGCAUCAGAAGCAUUUUUAUUCAAUUUUUUGGAAAAACAUGUCCAAGAGCAAAGACAGUCUGAGGUAACUUGGCUCAUAACUCCACUUCUAGUGCUCAGAACGAGUUGAUUUUUGUUUUAAAAGAUUCUUUGGAGUGUUCUUAAGGUUUCGUUGAAGAAAUCAUGAAAUUCCAUGCAUCAGAAGCAUUUUUAUCCAAUUUUUUGGAAAACAUGUCCAAGAGCAAAGACAGUCUGAGGUAACUUGGCUCAUAACUCCACUUCUAGUGCUCAGAUCGAGUUGAUUUUUGUUUUAAAAGAUUCUUUGGAGUGUUCUUAAGGUUUCGUUGAAGGAAUCACGAAAUUCCAUGCAUCAGAAGCAUUUUUAUUCAAUUUUUUGGAAACCAUGUCCAAGAGCAAAGACAGUCUGAGGUAACUUGGCUCAUAACUCCACUUCUAGUGCUCAGAAUGAGUUGAUUUUUGUUUUAAAAGAUUCUUUAGAGUGUUCUUAAGGUUUCGUUGAAGAAAUCAUGAAAUUCCAUUCAUCAGAAGCAUUUUUAUUCAAUUUUUUGGAAAAACAUGUCCAAGAGCAAAGACAGUCUGAGGUAACUUGUCUCAUAACUCCACUUCUAGUGCUCAGAUCGAGUUGAUUUUUGUUUUAAAAGAUUCUUUGGAGUGUUCUUAAGCUUUCAUUGAAGAAAUUAUGAAAUUCCAUGCAUCAGAAGCAUUUUUAUUCAAUUUUUUGGAAAAACAUGUCCAAGAGCAAAGACAGUCUGAGGUAACUUGUCUCAUAACUCCACUUCUAGUGCUCAGAUCGAGUUGAUUUUUGUUUUAAAAGAUUCUUUGGAGUGUUCUUAAGCUUUCAUUGAAGAAAUUAUGAAAUUCCAUGCAUCAGAAGCAUUUUUAUUCAAUUUUUUGGAAAAACAUGUCCAAGAGCAAAGACAGUCUGAGGUAACUUGUCUCAUAACUCCACUUCUAGUGCUCAGAUCGAGUUGAUUUUUGUUUUAAAAGAUUCUUUGGAGUGUUCUUAAGCUUUCAUUGAAGAAAUCAUGAAAUUCCAUGCAUCAGAAGCAUUUUUAUUCAAUUUUUUGGAAAACGUGUCCAAGAGCAAAGACAGUCUAAGGUAACUUGGCUCAUAACUCCACUUCUAGUGCUCAGAAUGAGUUGAUUUUUGUUUUAAAAGAUUCUUUAGAGUGUUCUUAAGGUUUCGUUGAAGAAAUCAUGAAAUUCCAUUCAUCAGAAGCAUUUUUAUUCAAUUUUUUGGAAAAACAUGUCCAAGAGCAAAGACAGUCUGAGGUAACUUGUCUCAUAACUCCACUUCUAGUGCUCAGAUCGAGUUGAUUUUUGUU
rnacentral:lncRNA from 1 species